AAAAAAUACACAUAACACUAGCAAUUUCUAAUUAAAUUUCUGUUUCUUUCUUUUCUCAUCGCUAACCAUUGAUGCUUCUAAACGCUAGCUAAUGGUGUUCUUUUCUUAGGUAAACCAGGAAUCUUGUUCUAUGUUAACAUGAUAUACGGAAUUUUUUGGCAUAUACUAGCACUACCAUCGUACAUCGUAUCUUAUCUACCACAACUACGAAUACCACCACCACUACGACCACUAGUACGAAUACAUUGGACAUUUCUCGAAG